CGUCAUUAAAGAUUUUCAUAUAGAUAAGGAUGAUAUCAAUAGCAUAAUUCCUGUUUCAAUUCAUUUUCCGAAAGGAUUAUCGCAUUUUUUUAUCGUUGAAAAAUGGAAAUAUUGAAUAUUUAAAUAACACUUAAUCAUUGGCCAAUAUGGUUUUGUUCAACGAUUUUCCAUAUACGGCGGAAGACAUAAUUUAUGAAAAAUGUCAAGAUUUUUUAUUUCAAUGGAGCCUAAAAUUGAAAGAUUGUACUCGAUUCUAUUUUAACGGAUAGUUGUACUUGAAUUUUGCACCAUAUUAAAAUAUUUUAUUUAAAUGCUCUAAACAAAUAAACAUAUGACGUUUAAUUUUCUUUUAAUAAAAAAUUAAAAAAAAAAGGAAAAUAAUGUCACGAGAGAGUUAUAUAUUCCCAAUAAUAUGGUUUCUGUGCUACGUUUUGUAGGACCAUUUAUUGUCAAUCGAAAGUCUGAAAAGGUAAUAAAAAAAAUUCUCCCAUGGUGUUAAAUUGAAAAAUUUAUUUUCGGUUGCUCUCGACAAGUGUACACCACACUCGUGUUUUCCAUAUACGGCGGAAGACAUAAUUUAUGAAAAAUGUCAAGAUUUUUUAUUUCAAUGGAGCCUAAAAUUGAUAGAUUGUACUCGAUUCUAUUUUAACGGAUAGUUGUACUUGAAUUUUGCCCUAUAUUAAAA